AUUUUAAACUGCAUUUCACCGACACCGUCGUUUGCUGGUCGUACAACCCAAGGUCUAACAAAAGUCUGUUGCAUUACAAGAGCGCAAACUCCAAACUCAUGAAGCGUGGCAUCAUGUCUAGCUUCCUCUCAACCCUGCAGAAAUCCUGUGCACACACAGCUGUAGCCAGUUUCAACAGUCAGCUUGAGUGCCUGCUGUCCACCGGUUACCCAGAUCACAUAAUCCGCAGCACUUCUGAAAGCCUACUUCAGAAAAUAAAAUCUACAGAAAGGAAACAGCAACCCUCGAUUCAACAACCACCUUAAGUUAUGGCAUAUUUGCAUUGCCUAUCACACAUCAAAAAGGUAGCAGAAAGGUACGAAAUUCGCGUCGUGUUUUUAGUGUCAUGCAAUCUUUAAAAAGUGUGCCCCCUGCUGACUAAAGGAAAGAAACGAGCAAGGCUCGUGCACAAAGGACCACAAGAAUGAGUACACCAAAUGCAUGUGAAAUAUUAUUUAAUAAAUUCCUUUGUCCUGUGGUCGGUCGUAUAUUGGUCAAACCGGCCGCUGCUUCAAUGAAUGCGCACAGGAACACGAGCAAUGCAUGCGCACUGGCUCGGACAGUAAUCUUGCCUUACAAUGCAAGAACUGCGACAACAUGAGCUGUUUUCCUCAGCUGGAAAAAACUAAAUUCCUUUCUAAUGCAAAAAUGAGAACAGAAAGAUGUCAUCAAGGCUU